ensembl:snRNA U4 U4 spliceosomal RNA
AGCUUUGCACAGUGGCAGUAUCGUAGCCAAUGAGGCUUAUCUGAGGUGCAAUUAUUGCUAAUUGAAAAGUUCCCAGUACCCUGCUGUGAUGACUUGCAAUAUAGUCAGCAUUGGCAACUUUUGACAGUCUCUAAGGAGA